CUUCACGAUGGCUCGUGAUGCUUCGGGACCUSGGUCACGAGGUACGCGGUCGUCGCGUAUGUCCGACGUCGUCGACGUGCACUUCUCCCCUAGUAGGACGUCGCGACCCGUUGGGUGUCGGUCUAAGGUCCGGAUGGGAGCCUGUCUCGUCGUUUCGGCGCAUCGAGUCAGACCACCGGUAACCAGACGCCGGCUGCCCGACGGUACUCAACAUGGUAUCGGGCCGCAAUAUCGAACUGCGUCGGAUCCGUUGCAAGCUUGAUCAGUGUUUCACGAAGUUUCGCGGACCUAGCGCCGCACUCGUGCCUGAUCGGCUGUUGGUUGACGGUUUUCUCCGACCGGCCAUUAAAGAUAAGCGAUACCGGUCGGCGACGCUACUGCUUUGGGUAAUCUCAGGACCCGUCUUGAAACACGGACCAAGGAGUCUAACAUGUGCGCGAGUCAUUGGGACCGCAUGCCUAAAGGCGAAAUGAAAGUGAAGGUCGGUCUUAGCACCGAUCGAGGGAGRAUGGGCCGCGUCAAAUGCGGCUCCGCACUCCCGGGGC
rnacentral:rRNA from 1 species